rnacentral:lncRNA from 1 species
GAAGAUUUUGACAUCUAUGCUUUAAAAUUAGGAAGUAAAACAAAAUUCUCUUACAUGGCUUUCAUAUCAGAGGACAUUCAUCAAACACCUUUGUCUGGUUCUGUAAAAACUCAAAAUACAAGUUCUCUGACCUUCCUAACAAAACAUAACAACAACAAAUGAUAACUGUACCAAGUACUUGUUAGUUAACCAAAUGAAUAAAUAGCAAAAGUAACUCUUUGGUGCCAAAUUUGCACUAUGAUGGGUUGAAAUAACUAUGAGCUCCCUAAGAUAGACUAGAACAUGUUGUGAUGAGAAUCAAUGGCAGUAAUGGAUAAAUAACAGGGAGAAGAUUAAGAGAAAGAAGAAGAAAGUGGCUAACAUGAAAUUACUUUGUUGGUGUGACCACUGCCAUUGAUUCCCAUCACAACUUGCUCCAGCCAAGUAGGGGAUUCAGCAGAUUCAUGACUUGGCUCAAUCAGAUGAAACCAUUAUAUGAGCAGGGAUUGAAGGAUCUGCUACAUGUUAUAAUAUAAUAUUUAUUGAUUCAUAUCUGAAAAAUGUGAUUAAUGUAGUACACCUUGUUUCAUUGAUUGGUACUACCAUUUUGCUUAAUUCAUUCCUGUUUUCAUUGUACUGUCUUC